GGCUCGAUGGCGGAGGGUCCGCCCCUGCAACACUUUGUCAUCCAAUAUACUAGUAGUAUUGCGGGAGGUGCCCGUUCGACUCGGGCUCGAGCUA